GCCUUUUGCUAAAUCAAAUCUGAUUUUCCCGAAGCCGACCCUCAUAAAAGCAGCACCCAGUUCCAAGUGGCAGUGGGAGGAGCCGCCAGCAGAUUCACAGCUGAUUCUUCUAUAGCAGGGGCCGGUCAGAGGAAACGUGUUAGUUGUUGAAGGCCACGCGGUCUCUGUUGCAACUACUCAACUCUGCUGUUGUCCAACAAAAGCAACCACAGACUGUGGCAACCACAGAUGUGGCUGUGCUUCCGUAAGACUUGAUUUAUAAAAACACAACCCACCGUUCACCGGCCCCUGUCCCACCGCUCCUAUACUCGAACCCAGGGCUCAGACUCUAAACUCCUGUAGCUGUGGGAACCGAAAACCAGAUGUGCUCCGAAAGCUACAAAGACGGAAUCAUGACGAAGAGGCCACUUGUGCAAUACGCAGAUACAGGAGUUGUGUGACAGUUGUUAAGGCCCCACGGCUCUGUCGGGAGCACGCUUCGGCCACCUCGGAACACCCCCUUCCUUCGUGAGCAUCCACGGGCACGGGGGCGAGGGAACACAGAAGGGACAGGUGGGCAAGGACCAUUUUCAGACACAUGGGAAAUGUUCCGUCUGCAGUGGAGACUGCGGGCAGGCUCCGUGAAUCAAUCAUUUCCUUGCAUUAACCCCUAAAUAGAACCAACAGAAACCCAA